ACGCUCGACACCUACUGGAGGCAGCAGUGAGGAAUAUUGGUCAAUGGGCGCUAGCCUGAACCAGCCAAGUAGCGUGAAGGAUGAAGGCUCUAUGGGUCGUAAACUUCUUUUAUAUAAGAAUAAAGUGCAGUAUGUAUACUGUUUUGUAUGUAUUAUAUGAAUAAGGAUCGGCUAACUCCGUGCCGGCAGCCGCGGUAAUCUGAGCGGGCUGGCAAGGC
rnacentral:rRNA from 1 species